GAUGAACGCUGGCGGCGUGCCUAAUACAUGCAAGUCGAGCGAACGGACGAGAAGCUUGCUUCUCUGAUGUUAGCGGCGGACGGGUGAGUAACACGUGGAUAACCUACCUAUAAGACUGGGAUAACUUCGGGAAACCGGAGCUAAUACCGGAUAAUAUUUUGAACCGCAUGGUUCAAAAGUGAAAGACGGUCUUGCUGUCACCUAUAGAUGGAUCCGCGCUGCAUUAGCUAGUUGGUAAGGUAACGGCUUACCAAGGCAACGAUGCAUAGCCGACCUGAGAGGGUGAUCGGCCACACUGGAACUGAGACACGGUCCAGACUCCUACGGGAGGCAGCAGUAGGGAAUCUUCCGCAAUGGGCGAAAGCCUGACGGAGCAACGCCGCGUGAGUGAUGAAGGUCUUCGGAUCGUAAAACUCUGUUAUUAGGGAAGAACAUAUGUGUAAGUAACUGUGCACAUCUUGACGGUACCUAAUCAGAAAGCCACGGCUAACUACGUGCCAGCAGCCGCGGUAAUACGUAGGUGGCAAGCGUUAUCCGGAAUUAUUGGGCGUAAAGCGCGCGUAGGCGGUUUUUUAAGUCUGAUGUGAAAGCCCACGGCUCAACCGUGGAGGGUCAUUGGAAACUGGAAAACUUGAGUGCAGAAGAGGAAAGUGGAAUUCCAUGUGUAGCGGUGAAAUGCGCAGAGAUAUGGAGGAACACCAGUGGCGAAGGCGACUUUCUGGUCUGUAACUGACGCUGAUGUGCGAAAGCGUGGGGAUCAAACAGGAUUAGAUACCCUGGUAGUCCACGCCGUAAACGAUGAGUGCUAAGUGUUAGGGGGUUUCCGCCCCUUAGUGCUGCAGCUAACGCAUUAAGCACUCCGCCUGGGGAGUACGACCGCAAGGUUGAAACUCAAAGGAAUUGACGGGGACCCGCACAAGCGGUGGAGCAUGUGGUUUAAUUCGAAGCAACGCGAAGAACCUUACCAAAUCUUGACAUCCUUUGACAACUCUAGAGAUAGAGCCUUCCCCUUCGGGGGACAAAGUGACAGGUGGUGCAUGGUUGUCGUCAGCUCGUGUCGUGAGAUGUUGGGUUAAGUCCCGCAACGAGCGCAACCCUUAAGCUUAGUUGCCAUCAUUAAGUUGGGCACUCUAAGUUGACUGCCGGUGACAAACCGGAGGAAGGUGGGGAUGACGUCAAAUCAUCAUGCCCCUUAUGAUUUGGGCUACACACGUGCUACAAUGGACAAUACAAAGGGCAGCGAAACCGCGAGGUCAAGCAAAUCCCAUAAAGUUGUUCUCAGUUCGGAUUGUAGUCUGCAACUCGACUACAUGAAGCUGGAAUCGCUAGUAAUCGUAGAUCAGCAUGCUACGGUGAAUACGUUCCCGGGUCU
rnacentral:rRNA from 1 species